GAAAUCGGACGCACUCUUCAAUGUGGUAUGUGCAAUGGAACAGAGAGCUUCUGUAGUAAAAAACGCCUGAUGUGAGGUAACCAAAACGUUUGGAAAAUUAACAAGACGUUGAAACGUAGAAUCCUUUAUUACUUCGUUAGAAAGAUCCUUAUAAAAUAAGUUUCUUUCACCUUCAUAUACAUCUAUUGCACAACCUCCGACUUGGCCGGAGUCGAUGGCGUCAACCAACGCUUUCGUAUCAAUUAAACCUCCUCUACUAGUGUUCACAAUUGUUACUCCCUUUUUCAUUAAAGCUAGGGAGUCAGAAUUCACAAUGUGCGUUGUACUGGGCGUUAAUGGGCAAUGGAGGCAUAAAAAGUCAGCCUUCUUUAAAACCUCAUUUUGCUCAACAAAUUGAACUCCAUAGUUUUCUAACUUCUUAUCCGGAUUGAUAUCGUAAGCUAAUACAUCGCAACCAAAACCCAUUUUAAAACAUUUUGCAACAUUACUCCCGAUUUUCCCAGUACCAAUCACUCCCACUGUUUUACCAUGUAUGUCACAUCCAAGUAGUCCGACAAUAUUGAAGUCAUCUUCACGCACCCGAACAUAGGCACGAUGAAUUUUACGAUUAAGAGACAAGAGUAAACCAACAGUGAAUUCAGACACAGCAAAAGGCGAAUAGGAGGGGACGUGCACAACAGUUAUUUUAUAUUCGGACGCUGCCUUUAGAUUAACGUUGUUGUACCCCCCACAACGAAGAGCGACCAACUUAACACCAUUUUCUGCCAAAGCUUUUAAAGUAUCAGCAUCUACUUGGUCGUUCACAAACACACACACCACCUGUGCUUUGCCUGCCAAAGAAACUGUAUCUUUGUUCAAUGAAAAAUUGUGAUAUAUUAUUUCAUGGUUAAAAGUUUUGUUAGCUUCUUCAAAAGGCCCUCUAUCGUAUGAUUGACUACUAAAAAGGACAACACGCAUUGUUGGAAGCAAAGGGGUAAAAUGUUAUGAAUAGAGGAAAUAAAAGUUAAAAGCUGAGAGAUACUAUAAAUAGUUGUUCAGCGUUCGCAAUGAAGUUCUUAUGAAUGAUAUUAAUCAACCUAAUCUUUGGAAACUUAUUACAUUUAGAAAUUUAAUUUGCCCACGAGAAUAUAGU